UCCAGGUUAAGACAAUUUAAAGGUUGUCUGCUCAUAUGUUUUGGAAUAUUGUGAAGAACACCAAUGAUAUACAUGUAGUGGCAUGUGUCCAAAGCUGAUCCACAUCAUAACAUACUGAUUGGGAAUAAUGACAUAGUACCAAAAGAUGUGCUUAUACUGUAAUUAGCAGGAUGGACAACUGUCAACAGUUUAUGCUCUUAAUAAAAGCCACACCAGGGAAGAGAUAAACGUGCAACCAGCUAAGGACACCCUUGUUUUCAACACUAUGGUACCAGCAAUAAAUACAUAUCUUCACAAAUGAACCGGGCAGAUUGGUGCAACCUUACCUUACCAUGUUUACAUCUAACUGUCAGCUUGAGCUGUGUGUGGGUGGUAACACGGACUACAUACAUGUAUUGCCCAGUAAUUGUCUUGUGAUGGACCUUUUUAACAUAUCAAGUAUUUAAUUGAAGACUUAAGAGGUCAGUUUUCAUCAAAGAAUUUAAAAAUACAGUUUUAUUUAUAAGGGUGAAUAUGUGGUUAUAAUGGCAUUGAUGUAUAUCUUGUGUCGGUUUUUUAAUCAGCCUUUCAUCCAUAAUUAUGAAU